GAUGAAGAACGUAGUGAAAUGCGAUAAGUAAUGUGAAUUGCAGAAUUCAGUGAAUCAUCGAAUCUUUGAACGCACCUUGCGCCCCUUGGUUAUUCCAAAGGGCAUGCCUGUUUGAGUAUCAUGAACACCUCAACUCUUGUGGUUUCCCACAAUGAGCUUGGACUGUGGAGGUUUUGUUGGCCCUGUGGUCAGCUCCUCCCAAAUGGAUCAGCUUACCGGUGUUUGGUGGCAUUACGGGUGUGAUAACUAUCUACGCUCGUGGUCGUCUCCAAAUAACCUCCAGUGAUGGAGGUUCGCUGGAGCUUAUAAAUGUCUCUCCCCAGUGAAGACAGCCUUUGAACGUUCGAUCUCAAAUCAGGUAGGACUACCCGCUGAACUUAAGCAUAUCAAUAAGCGGAGGA
rnacentral:misc_RNA from 1 species